rnacentral:rRNA from 1 species
GACGAACGCUGGCGGCGUGCUUAACACAUGCAAGUCGAACGGAAAGGCCCUGCUUUUGUGGGGUGCUCGAGUGGCGAACGGGUGAGUAACACGUGAGUAACCUGCCCUUGACUUUGGGAUAACUUCAGGAAACUGGGGCUAAUACCGGAUAGGAGCUCCUGCUGCAUGGUGUGUGUUGGAAAGUUUCGGCGGUUGGGGAUGUACUCGCGUCUUAUCAGCUUGUUGGUGGGGUAGUGGCUUACCAAGGCUUUGACGGGUAGCCGGCCUGAGAGGGUGACCGGCAACAUUGGGACUGAGAUACGGCCCAGACUACUACGGGAGGGAGGAGAGGGGAAUAUUGCACAAUGGGCGGAAGCCUGAUGCAGCAACGCCGCGUGCGGGAUGACGGCCUUCGGGUUGUAAACCGCUUUCGCCUGUGACGAAGAGUGAGUGACGGUAAUGGGUAAAGAAGCACCGGCUAACUACGUG